rnacentral:rRNA from 1 species
AUUGAACGCUGGCGGCAUGCCUUACACAUGCAAGUCGAACGGCAGCACGGGGGCGAACCCUCGGUGGCGAGUGGCGAACGGGUGAGUAAUGCAUCGGAACGUGGCCCAGUAGUGGGGAGUAACUAGUCGAAAGAUUAGCUAAUACCGCAUACGACCUAUGGGUGAAAGCGGGGAGUUCGCAAGAAACCUCGCGCUAUCGGAGCGGCCGGAUGUCUGAUU